rnacentral:rRNA from 1 species
ACGCGUGGAACCUUACCAGGUCUUGACAUCCUUCGAUACUUCUAGAGAUAGGACGUUCCCCUUCGGGGGACAAAGUGACAGGUGGUGCAUGGUUGUCGUCAGCUCGUGUCGUGAGAUGUUGGGUUAAGUCCCGCAACGAGCGCAACCCUUGAUCUUAGUUGCCAUCAUUUAGUUGGGCACUCUAAGGAGACUGCCGGUGACAAACCGGAGGAAGGUGGGGAUGACGUCAAAUCAUCAUGCCCCUUAUGACCUGGGCUACACACGUGCUACAAUGGAUGGUACAAAGGGCAGCAAAGCGGUGACGCCUAGCAAAUCCCAUAAAACCAUUCUCAGUUCGGAUUGUAGGCUGCAACUCGCCUACAUGAAGCUGGAAUCGCUAGUAAUCGCGGAUCAGCAUGCCGCGGUGAAUACGUUCCCGGGCCUUGCACUCACCGCCCGU